rnacentral:rRNA from 1 species
CAGUAGCCGCGGUAAUACGUAGGUGGCAAGCGUUGUCCGGAAUUAUUGGGCGUAAAGGGUUCGCAGGCGGUUUCUUAAGUCUGAUGUGAAAGCCCCCGGCUCAACCGGGGAGGGUCAUUGGAAACUGGGAAACUUGAGUGCAGAAGAGGAGAGUGGAAUUCCACGUGUAGCGGUGAAAUGCGUAGAGAUGUGGAGGAACACCAGUGGCGAAGGCGACUCUCUGGUCUGUAACUGACGCUGAGGAGCGAAAGCGUGGGGAGCGAACAGGAUUAGAUACCCGCGUAGUCCCUGUCUCUUAUAA